rnacentral:rRNA from 1 species
UCAGGACGAACGCUGGCGGCGUGCCUAAUACAUGCAAGUCGAGCGGACAGAUGGGAGCUUGCUCCCUGAUGUUAGCGGCGGACGGGUGAGUAACACGUGGGUAACCUGCCUGUAAGACUGGGAUAACUCCGGGAAACCGGGGCUAAUACCGGAUGGUUGUUUGAACCGCAUGGUUCAGACAUAAAAGGUGGCUUCGGCUACCACUUACAGAUGGACCCGCGGCGCAUUAGCUAGUUGGUGAGGUAACGGCUCACCAAGGCGACGAUGCGUAGCCGACCUGAGAGGGUGAUCGGCCACACUGGGACUGAGACACGGCCCAGACUCCUACGGGAGGCAGCAGUAGGGAAUCUUCCGCAAUGGACGAAAGUCUGACGGAGCAACGCCGCGUGAGUGAUGAAGGUUUUCGGAUCGUAAAGCUCUGUUGUUAGGGAAGAACAAGUGCCGUUCAAAUAGGGCGGCACCUUGACGGUACCUAACCAGAAAGCCACGGCUAACUACGUGCCAGCAGCCGC